rnacentral:rRNA from 1 species
GACGAACGCUGGCGGCGUGCUUAACACAUGCAAGUCGAACGGAAAGGCCCCUUCGGGGGUACUCGAGUGGCGAACGGGUGAGUAACACGUGAGUAACCUGCCCUUGACUUCGGGAUAACUUCAGGAAACUGGGGCUAAUACCGGAUAGGAAUCCUUGCUGCAUGGUGGGGGUUGGAAAGCUUCGGCGGUUUUGGAUGGACUCGCGGCUUAUUAGCUUGUUGGUGGGGUAGUGGCUUACCAAGGCUUUGACGGGUAGCCGGCCUGAGAGGGCGACCGGCCACAUUGGGACUGAGAUACGGCCCAGACUCCUACGGGAGGCAGCAGUGGGGAAUAUUGCACAAUGGGCGGAAGCCUGAUGCAGCAACGCCGCGUGCGGGAUGACGGCCUUCGGGUUGUAAACCGCUUUCAGCAGGGGCGAAGCUUGUGGUGACGGUACCUGCAGAAGAAGCACCGGCUAACUACGUG